rnacentral:lncRNA from 1 species
CCACGCCGCCGCAAGCCUCUCGCCACGCCCCGCGGCCCCGCCUGAAGGCGGUGGGCUGCGAGGUUGUUUCCGACCAGGUCUUGGGAGCGACCUGACCCUGGGACUACGGUUACUGCGUGUACCUCUCAUAGGCUGCAGAGAACACUCAGGUCGAGAACGCUCUCGAAUGUCUUACCCUCCCUUGAUCCAUUCCCUUGCAUCUGUUCCCUUGCCUCUGUUCCCUUCCCCGAUAUCUCGACCCCCGCCCUUGCCCCUGUGCCACCCACCGACAGAGAGACGCCUGCGCCCCCCCCCCCCCCCCCCACCACUGCGAUCGGUUCCCGUGUCGCUUCCCCAGGACCUGGACUCCUUUCAUGCCUGCGUCCUGCGACCCCUUCCCAACCCUGCCCAUCGGGACCGCGACCCCUAACCUAGAUCCUCGCGCCUUUGGCGACGGCGACUUUGGCCCAAAGUCCCCUCUCCCCGCCCCCAGCGAGGCCCUGGGUCUGGAAGACAGGCUUUUGCAAGUGCGGAAUGUGGAGGAGGGGUGGGAACUGAGAAACCGAAGGUGUUUACAGUAGCUCCUGAGCGGGGUCCACGAAAACUCCGUGCGAUUUCAACGAGAAUGGAAAGACUCUAGACUCGAGUAGCAAAUGUCUUCCAAAACAAGAAUGUCUUACCCUCCCUUGAUCAAUUUUAGUGGGGGGCGGGGGGGCGGGGCACAAAGCAUUCCCUUUUAAGCUUAUUGCCUGGUUUUCUGUAUCCUUGCUCUUGAUGAUAUAUAUCAUAUGUGAAUUAUUCCAAAUUUUGGGGCCCGCCUCCCCCGUCCCCAUUAAAAAGGCGUUAGGCUAACGGAAUGUGACUUAGUACCAGAGUGCUUGCCUAGCCAAGGGUUUUACCACAGUGGAGGGAGACUAUUCUGGGUCUGAGCCUUGGGUUCUGCCCCUAGCAUGCUGGAGGACUGGGGCUGUUGUGGGUCUGGGUCUGGGUAUGUGUAUUCGUGGUCUUUGUGUACCUGGGCUGCUUGUUCGUUCCUAUCCAUGAUGUUCAAAUUCUGACAGUUCUACAUUUUGGAAGAAAGCCUCCUGGACUCCUCCCCCUUAUACUGGGUAUAUGUGUAAUGCCAUCCUUAUCAGUGUCUUCUCCUUUGUAAUACCUGUCACAUCCGAAAAAAAUCGCAAAUUAAAUAUUCAUAGCUAUAUUUUUACAGAUAAUAAUCACCUAAGAUUGAGUUUUCCUCUAAUAUUUAAAGCAUAUAUGAUAAUUCAGGAGAAAAAAAUGAAUUAAAACAUUUCUCCUUCUCCCUAGUAGGUUUGCCUUCUGGUUACUGUCCAUCAUUCAUAGUGCCAACAAGCAUUUCCUUAAAAAAUUUUGUCACCAUCUUUUCAUUAAAGGCCUUCACUGGAUCCUUGUUUUUUUUUUUCCCCCUACAAGGAAAACCAACUCUCUUUCAUGGAAAGAAGUCCCUUCACAAACUAGUCCUAGCCUGUCUUCCUUCAGCCCAGUCACUUACCUUUCGUACCUUGUGGGGUUAGACACCAUAACUUUUCGAUCACUUUCAUGUACCAAACAUGUUUUAAGACAUUGGGUGAGUUGCUAGGGCUACUCUGGAAUGUAGCACAAGCUUUGCACUGAAGACUGAAAAGCAAAUCAACAGAUUUGUGAUAAGUCCUAUGAAAACAAAACACAAGGCUGGUGAUGUGGCUCAGUAGUAGAGUGCUUGCCUCACAUGCUCCAGAGCCCUGGGUUCAAUCCCUAGCACUGCAUUGAGAGGAAAGAAUUUGUUUUUAAAUGUGUGAUGCUUUCAUGAGCCCCUAGGUUCUAAAGAAUGCAAUUUCCCUUGCCAUAAGUAUUCCCUACUUUGGUCAAAUCUUGUUUAUUCUUCAAAUAAUAGCUCAAAAGUCAAACAUUUAAAUCUAUUCUCUGUCGAUGGUUGAUUUUCCUUCUGUGUCCUCUUUGUGCUUCAUUCAUAGCUCUAUUAAAGCUUUAUUACACUCUAAUUUUCAAUUGACAUGUGACUAUCACUCCAAUAAAAUGAUCAGUUUCCCCGGGGCCAGAUGCAGCUCAGUGAUCUCUGUAACACUAUAGGUGGCACAUAGUACCUGUUGAAUGAAUGAAUGUUGGUUUAACCAAUGAGAAAAGCAAGACAUUCCCUUUUAAAGGCCAGUGUUUCAGUUGCUGAGAACGUUUUUUUCAUUCUCCCUGUAUUUUCUGUGAAAAAAUAAAC